CACGGGAAGGGAAAUUCAAACAUCAAACAGGAUUGAUGGGUUUAUCAUCAUCGCACUACAUUACAGAGUGACCUCUGCAGACUGGAAAUUGGGUUACAUCAACAAACCUCACUUUAAAGUGUGAGAUGAAAGAGUGCCUCCCCUAACGUUUUGUGGUAUAACUGGCUCACGUUUAAAGAAAGUAUGCAGCCAGGUACCCGUGUCACAUUUCAAUCUGUGAUAUUGACAUGGAUGUGAAAACCCAAGCCUUUGAAACUGAGCCUUUCAUAAGUUCAACAAAAACCUGAAACGCACUCUCCUGCGAAGACCUGAAGGACAGAGAAGUGGAUAGUUUGACAAUUGCCUCAGCCCUGACACCACAGUCUACAGUGCAGAACCAGGUCUUAUAGUAGAAGUCCGGGAUCUUGCCAGGAGGAAAUCAUAGUUCCAGUUCCUGUGGGAUCACAUGGAGGCACCACUGGAAAAUCCACUGGAAUGAGCAGGCAUAGAACAGCAAGCAAGUCAGAAGAAAGAAACUGGUCGGGUAGCUACUCCAACCCACUCUUCCCUGGAGACUUUGUGCGUUCAAGCCUCAAGCCAGGGAAUAAAAAGCAGCUCAGCAUCUCAGCUCUAAGAAUAUCCACACUGGCUGAUUUCCAUCACUGAUCAUUACAAGGAGAAAGACAGGAGAAACCAAAAUAACACACAUAAGAAAGCUCCCCAGAGUUCAGGGGAGCAGUGUUCUUGCUGCUGUGUUCGCUGGGCUAGAAUUGCUGACUUCCUUGUGUAUCUUCAAUUUCUGACUUCCCAUUUAUUCCUCAACCUGCUACAAUAAUAAAUACAAUACUAAUAAUACAUAUAUGUAUAUACAAAUAUUUGUAUUCUGUAUGCAAGUAAAUAAGCCUGUGAUGAUAGAA
rnacentral:lncRNA from 1 species